GUCUGUGUAGCCAAGAGGUAAGGCAAGGCUCUGCAAAAGCUUGAUCGCUGGUUCGAAUCCAGUCAUGGACU
rnacentral:tRNA from 2 species